CAAGGAACAAAGAAUAGAUAAGGUGAUUUUUAACCAAGAACAGAUAAGGUCUCAGUAGUUAAAACCUGAUAUAUUUGUGUGACCAGUUUUCAACACAUGACACCAUCUUUACACCAGCCUUGUCAAUGGCCAUCAGCAAGGAAGGGGGAUAAGUGACUGCAUUUCCAGCCUCUCAUCAUAGCUGUGACCUUUGUAAAAUCAAUCACAAGCAGACCCAGGCUUGUGGUCCCUUUUGACACUGUGGAUGCAGAAGGAAGAGACAAAGUCCUUUCUGUAUAUGGAUGUACAGAUUUGUCCAAAUGAAAUGAGGAAGCAAAUUUAAGCUGCAUGUUUGUUUGGUUGAGAAGGAAUACAUUUUUUCUCAUCAUAAUCACAAACUAAAGCCAUUAAAAAGAGAAAGUACCCCUCAAUUUCAACCUUGCUCUGGAGGGCCAGCAUUUGUGUUCUUUCUACAAAUCAUUUGUUGAUACAAUGAGACUGUGAGGUUGGCUGCUGCCAACACAUCCAUCUGUCAACCAAGGCCAUCUGCAGAGGAGACACAAAGCUUCAAUGCCUGGAAGUGAAUUUGUUGGCAUUUCAAGACAAACAUCUCUUUGGCUACAACUACUGAAACUUAAAUCCAAAAAUGGGAGGAAAAUCUAGGCCCAGUCUGAAGUCCCAAGAACCAGAAAUGCUGAUGCACGAGAGCAGGACAAGAUGGAUGGCCCAGCUCGAGCAAAUUUACACUUCCUUUGCCUUUUUAUUCUCUUCAAGCCUUCAGUGGAUUGGAUGAUUCUCACUGGCAUUGGACGAUUUACGUGACACUCGAUGGCAGGCUUGGGGACACUCAGAAGGUGCAGGAUGAGCAAGACCCAUAUACGUACUCAACAUGCCAGGUUGCAUGAUAUAGGAGAAAGAACAGGAUAUGGAAUCAGAGAAACCUGGGGUUAAAUCCUGCGUAAUGUUGGAUUUCAUGUCUGUACCCCUCAGUGGCAGAAUGUGACCUGGAAGUAAAUGGGAAAAACAAUUCUGGGAAAUGCAGCCUUCUCCCCUGUGAUGCAAAGCAAAACCUGGAGAGAGGCAGUGAUGACAUGGAAUUAACAACAGACAAUCUGACAAAAUGAACUCAAGGUGGAUUAGACCAAGCUCCUCAAUGUCCCAUUGAUUGAUUGAUUGAUUGAUUGAUGAUUGAUGGAGGAAGAUCAAAACUUCAACACUGGAUUGUUAAACUAGGGCUGACUAAUAAUUUGCUGAGCAACAGGUCAACAGAAGACAAAAGAAGAAGAUGGCCACCACUUCAAGGAGAGAGGCCUCAGAAGAAACCAAACUUGGCAACAUCGUCAUCCUGGACCUCUAGCCUCCAGAUCUGUGAGAAAAAAUUUCUGUUGUUUAAGCCACCCAGUCUGUGGUAAUUGUUAUGGCAGCCCUAGCAAAUGAAUACAGCAUCCUACAACCAGGAUGAGGAACAAGGCUGAGAGUGAUGCCUUCUACCACGUCAGAGACAGGGUCCUUGGUGGCAUUCCCGAAUCGCUAAGCAAAUCAAGCCCAGAGCUUAUUCUGUCACUGAACUUUGCAUGACAAAAGCAAAAUUGUCCCCCUUUUUGCUUUAUUGUUUCAACUGUAACUAAUAACCAAGUACGCCACUGUGUCCUUAGUAACCUAGAACCAAGCCUCAUCAUAGUAAGUGCUUAAUAGUAUUUGUUAAAUGACUAGAGGAAGGAAUGAAAGAAUAAGCCACAAAAGGAAUUGUAGUGUGUUGAUCUGGGAAGCCCAGUGAGGUAGCAAGCAGCAGAGGAGUGAGUCAAUCUUAUUAUUAUUACUAUUAUUACUACAUUCCACUGGACACGUUCUAUGUGGACCAGGAGACAGAUAUUACCAUUUUUAGGCAACAGAGCUAAUUCAUAAAGGUGACCUGUACUCAUUAUAACAAAAGUUGUUUAAUUGGCAGACAUCUGAAAAUGUAAAAAUUCCCCUCAAUUUCUACAACUGGAAAUUUCUAAUUAGAAGCACAGGACUACUAGAGCCAGAUCAUUUCUGGUCUCUUAAUAUCAUCCAGAUAACUCCUUCAUUUUAGAGAUGAGAAAAUGAACACUUAGUGAGGUUAAGUGCCCUUUCCAGGUCACACAGUGUGAUAAUGGUGGAGCAAACGGAGGGAACAAUAAAGAAACCCAAUUUCUCUAAAGAGGAAAAAGUUUUCCUGGGAUAAGAGUUCAUUCCUUUUAGUUAAAUUAUUCCCAUAGUGAUAGGACAAUACCUUCUUUUCCUGCUCAAGAGAAACUGAUUUUCUUUACAAACAUAGACCAUCUCUUCUCAGAGUGGGAAACAAUGAUGGUAUUGUAUAGCCACUGUAUGAGUAAUCUAAAUGAAAAGCAUGCACAUUUAUUCAGAUGUUAGCCAAUCAAGCAACUUUUAGUGGAAUGAGUGAGUCAUAUGGUAGAGAAAUUUUGUAAUAUUAAGUAGAAAAGAAUACACAAAUGUCAGACAAAAAAAUCCUUUAAAACCCUUUUAGUUCAGGAAACAUACUUAAAUCUUAAGCAGUGUGUUUUGUGUUCUUUUUACACUUAAGAAAAACUUUGACAUUGUGGCAUAAAAGGUGAAAGAUGAGAUAAUAAGACAUUAGGCAAGUUGUGAAAAGAGAAAUACUGAGAAGUUGACAGAAAUAAAAAGGUACUGGAUAAUAUAAGGAAUGAAUGUUUUGAAACUGCUCCAAGGAAAGGCAACUUUUAAGAUACUUUAGAAACAUUAAAAGGUAGAGUUAACACUGCUAAUCAAAAUCAAAUCAAUAAUUAGAAAAAGUUUUACUAGUUAGAAGAAUAGGACCAAGAUAUAUAAAUGGUGAGAGAGAAGGACCAUAGUUACUGACGUAUGAAUAGUUAGUGCUCCUGAACAUAGAUAAGAAUAAAUGGAAGAUAAUCAAUAUUCAGACAUAAAUAAAAUGAGCUAAGAAAUCACUUUAAUCUGCAGAUCCAAAGAGCUUACUUGGCUAAAAGCAGAACUGAUAUAGUGGAUCAAUAAAUAGAUAUAACCAGGUAAAAGUAUGAAUCCUCAAAAAAAACAAAAAUUAGGGGACUUCCCUGGAGGUCCAGUGGUUAAGACUCUGAACUUCCAUUGCAGGGGGUGCAGGUUUGUUCCCUGGUAAGGGAACUAAGAUCCCAUACCCAGCUCAGCACAGCAAAAAAAGGAAAAGAAAAUCUGGAAACAAAAGAAAAAAUCUGGUAAGCUAUAAAGGAAGAAAUUCCAGGCUGACUUUAGACUUCUCUGUAACGUGGGGUGCCAGAAGUCCGUGGAGCAACAUCUAUGGUGAUCUGAGUUGUGAAUUCAAGAUUUCCUCAUCUAUACUGCCAUUGUUUUGGAGGCAAGAGAAAGUCUUUUUCAUUGAUGCCGGGUGCUUGAGAAUCCUAUCCAGGCUGAAUGAGGAAAAAUAUUAGCACUCAAAGUACUCCAGAAAAUUGGAAGCUCUAUCAAAAUAAAGGAACCAAGAAUGGGGAAGCCAACUAUUGGUGAGCAUUGGAACAUUCAAAUAUAGAAAUACUUGCUGAUAAUUAUUGCAAGCAUAGUCACAAAGCAGAAGACAAAUGAGAUAAAUAUAUUUUUUAAAUGAGAUUUUAUUAAAAUGCUUAGUCCCGUGCUUGGAAAACAAAUGCAAUAAAAAUUAAAUAGACGCAUUUAAUAUUAAUAUCACAUAAAUAAAAUUUAAGCAAGCUAAUAAAUGAAACUAGAAGGAUUGUGUGUGUGUGUGUGUGUGUGUGUUUGUAACAUUAAGCACUCAGACCUAUAUUAAAGAUAUAUUAGUCAGGAGCCUUUAGGAGCCAAAUAACAAAAUGUUAAAAUUUAUAAAAUAAAUAUUGAUAAAAAAUACUGGGAGAAAAUUAGACAAAGUGUGAAACUGUUUAACAGCACUUUUAGUCACUCAUGACAUAUCAAAUAGGCAAGAAGUACAUAUAUGGAGAUAGAGAAAAUCUGAAGACUGUAAUUAAUAAGGGCAAAUUCAGAAAGAUAAGCACAAAGAAUACAUUGAGAGACUGAAUAUACAUAUGGACAAUGACCAGACUGUAUAUAAAGAUGGAACUCUGAACUGCAACCUGAAGUAACCAGCUCAGGAAGCCAGCCUACUAUCUGUAGCAACCAGUCCAGAAAGCCAAACAAUAACUGCUCUAGUGAUCUGCCCCAAAUAGGAAGCACUUGAUUAAUAACUGACAGCUUCCCUUAUUAAUAACCGACUCUGCUUCCAACUUAGGACCAAACAGAGAAAGACAAAUAUGCAAUGCUAACCAAUCACAUAGGAUGCUGUGCUUCUGGUUAGUCUGCCUACUGCUUCCCAUGCCAACAGUUUCCAAUCAGGGCACACCUGCAGCCUUUCCUUUUUUUGUGUGUGUUACAAAGCUUUCCCACUCCUCUGCCUACCUUUGAGUCCUGCCAACCCAAAUGAUACUGACUGACUUCCUUGCUAUAGUAAGCUCUAAAGUAAACAACCAUUGCUUUUUUUCAUUUAGGUGAUUUUUUUUUUAAUUUCCCCAAUUUUAAUUAUUAUGUCCUAAUUUUUAGUAAACGUUAGAUAUUUUUCAAAAUAAAUAAUUAUGUGUUAUACCUCAAAGGUACUUUUAGUAAAUUCCAAAGAGCAGGAAUCCUUCUAAAAAUAUUCUCUGACUGCAAGGCAAUAAAAUUAAAUGUGAAUUACAAAAUGUUAAAGAAAAAUAAAGUUGCCUAGAAAUUAAAGAUAAGAAUAACCAAAAACUACUAAAUAGUUAUUUAGUAGUGAAAGAGGAAAUUAAAAAUUCAACACUAAAAUAUUUGGAAAAUAAAAACAAUAAGAAUUAUCUCAUAAAAUUUAUGCAUUUAGAAAAAAAUCCUUAGUCUUAAGCAUUUUCAUUAUGAAAGGGAAGAAUUACAAGUAAUGUCAUCAAGAUGGCAACAUAGAUCAUUCCUGACUUCAGUCCCCCUCACAAGAAGACCAACUAGCAAGUGUCCAUAGACAAGACAUGAUUGUGAAAACUCUAGAACACAGGGGUGAUGUGAAACAACCCCCUGGACCACAGAGACCAAGAAGGACCACGUUAGAAGGGUAAUUUGAAGAACUACACCCUGACAGCAUCGUCCUUCCCCCAGGCAGGCACAAGGCCACACUGAGAGGGCCCUACUGGGCCUACAAUUUCUCCAGUGGGGAAAAAAUAUCCCAAAGUGAGCAUCCACUUCCCCCAGUGUUGCAGGAUGCUUCCCAGGAUGCCCUCUCUGGUCUCAACUCACAAGAAUCACUGGGAAAAUCUGCAGGGCUUGACCACUGUGGAUCAGAAACAAGCAGAGAAGAAAGGUGGAGCUUAUAACAACCAGUGCUCAGAUCUUGGCAGAUGACAUUUCUCUUCACACAUGCACCAGAGCAAAGAUCACAGAUGGUGACCCCAUUUGGCUAGGGAGCUUAGUUGGUAUUUUUGCCUGAUUUGGGUUGCAGGAUAUAAAAUCAACAUACAAAAGUCAGCUGCAUUUUGAUGCACUAACAAUUAUCUGAAAAAGAAAUAAAGGAAACAAUCCCAUUUUCAAUAGCAUCCAAAACAAUAAAAUACUUAUUAAUAAAUUUAAUGAAGGAGGUGAAAGA